rnacentral:lncRNA from 1 species
AAAACAAAUAAUCAAUUACACAAUAAAAAUUCACAAUCAAUGGGAACACAGUCACACACACACAUAAUUGGGCCAAAUAAAUAACAAUAACACCUUUUACAUUGAAUAAACUUGUCUUUAAUAAAGUAGAGUGACAUAAUUAUUAAUUAAUACAGAACUACUGUACAGGCUUAAAACAAAGAGUGACGUUUAAUGUUACAUCAGCAUCACGCCAUCACUAUAACUGGUCUGACAAUUUCCUACGGCUUUCUCUUCCUGUUUUGUACAAUUUAGUUGUAAAUCUGCAAUUAGAGAAGACUUCAGUAAUUAAAUUACUAAUAAACAAAACAACAAUGAAAAAAAAAUAAAGAAAUUAAAAACAAAGAAAGCGUAAUGAAAAUAAAGAAUCCCCACUGAUUUAGAUCGAAAGCCUAGUAGUUGUAAUAAGCUAAACAACACAUUAAUAAAUAGAUAAAAACCCAACACAUCUUCUCAUACAAAGAAACACGAUGAAGUAAUUCAUAGAGAUGAUGAGAUUAGAUCAACAUCUCUUUCUCCCUCUAUCUUUGUUUACUCCACCGUGUUUUCUUUGUAUCAAAACAUGGAUGGGUAACUAGUAACUCCGCCAUCUCUCUCUCUCUCUCUCUCUCUCUCUCUCUCUCUCUCUCUCUCUUGCGGCUAUGAAUGAUGAUGAAUUGAGGGGAGCAUUUGAGGGCAAUUUAUAGAGGUAAAGGCACCGUACACAAAGAGAAUUCUAGAACCUCAUAAAACCCUAAUAAACCACACGUUGAAGAUCUAAUUCAUAGAUACGCCUCUCUCAUUCCAAUCCAACGGUGAUUGGCCUACGGCAGCAUGAUUCUUUUG